GGUUAGUCAAAGGUGGAUUGGAUCGGUAAUUGCAGUCGAGUAUAGCUGGACGGCCAAAUGUUAAGAAGAAAAAUAAUUUUCAUUUGGUACGAGUUAGGUGUAUGUGAAAUUUUGACAGGUGACAUAAACAUGGCGGAAACUAAUAAGAUUCACUAGUUCAUCUUAAUUGCAUGAAAGACGUAAUUUAUUCUUCGAGGAAAUAAAGGUGUGAGAAUUAAAGAAAAUAAAUAGAUCUGGC